rnacentral:rRNA from 1 species
UACGGAGGGGGCUAGCGUUGUUCGGAAUUACUGGGCGUAAAGCGCACGUAGGCGGCUUUGUAAGUUAGAGGUGAAAGCCCGGGGCUCAACCCCGGAACUGCCUUUAAGACUGCAUCGCUUGAAUCCAGGAGAGGUGAGUGGAAUUCCGAGUGUAGAGGUGAAAUUCGUAGAUAUUCGCAAGAACACCAGUGGCGAAGGCGGCUCACUGGCCCGAUACUGACGCUGAGGCACGAAAGCGUGGGGAGCAAACAGG